rnacentral:rRNA from 1 species
GUCUGUGGCCAUGCCACCCUGAACAAGCCUGAUCCCGUCUGAUCUCGGAAGCUAAGCAGGGUCGGAUCUGGUUAGUACUUGGAUGGGAGACCACCUAGGAAGACCAGGUGCUGUAGGCG